AACGAACGCUGGCGGCAGGCUUAACACAUGCAAGUCGAGCGCAUCCUUCGGGAUGAGCGGCAGACGGGUGAGUAACGCGUGGGAAUCUACCCUUUUCUACGGAAUAACGCAGGGAAACUUGUGCUAAUACCGUAUGUGUCCUUCGGGAGAAAGAUUUAUCGGGAAAGGAUGAGCCCGCGUUGGAUUAGCUAGUUGGUGGGGUAAAGGCCUACCAAGGCGACGAUCCAUAGCUGGUCUGAGAGGAUGAUCAGCCACAUUGGGACUGAGACACGGCCCAAACUCCUACGGGAGGCAGCAGUGGGGAAUAUUGGACAAUGGGCGCAAGCCUGAUCCAGCCAUGCCGCGUGAGUGAUGAAGGCCCUAGGGUUGUAAAGCUCUUUCACCGGKGAAGAUAAUGACGGUAMCCGGAGAAGAAGCCCCGGCUAACUUCGUG
rnacentral:rRNA from 2 species